AUGCCGUUUUUUCCUCCGAGGUCAGCGGUUGCGAGCCGGGUGUGCAAUGGAACUGCCUUUGCGCCCGUACACCACGCCCGACUGCGGUUGCCGUCUCCCAUGACUUGCCACUUGCGCUCCCCUCGCGGUUCCAUCACUCCCCAACCCACCCAUCCACACCGGUUGCAUUUGAUUGGAGGAGAGACCGAGAGGAGAAGAAGGCGGCGGCGGCGGAAGAGUCGACGACAUUCGCGGUCGUUGCUAGGGUUCGCCGGACCGGAGCGUCAUCGCCGAAGCAGCCGCAGAUUGAAGAUUCCGGCCGAUUCGCGGUGCUCCGGUGUCCUCGUCGGUGGCGGAGUCGCGUGCUUGCCAUUUAGGACGGCAUUGCGCAGUUUUGUCGCCGCCGCGGUGGCAGUCAUGCCGGUGUGGCUCGCCUGCACAAUGGCUCGCGGCGACCAUCAAGAUGAUGAUGAUGACUUCAUGGAGUUACCGCGACAGAAUCGCGCGACUGGUUGGAUAAAAGAUGGCGAUGAGAAGAGGAAACGUCAUCGCAAUAGGGCUUCGCAAGAACGCCUGACUAUAUUGACUGAGGGAUUUACUGAUGAGCAGAAGGGAGCUGCCGGUGAGAUGGGGAUGCAGGCUCUGAUGGAUGUUCGAUGCAAGAAUCUAGUGAACCAUGUAUGCGACUGGCUCGGUGAGAUUUAUGAUCCUGCCUCCAGGGAAUUCGUGAUUCCUGGACGUGGAAGACUGCCUUUGGAUGAGGAAUCUGUCUUCUGCACGUUGGGUGUUCCCUGUGGAGAAAUCAAAGUCCCAUAUGAGGUGAAUAAUAAGAAUGAGGAAGCCUUAUUCGCCUGUUUGUUUCCUGGGAUGGCAUCCAUGCCGAAUACGACUGUGCUGGCAACUUUGUUGGAGGGCUUGAAAACCCAUGGCGAGGUAUUUACGAUGAAGCUACUCAUGUACCUGAUCUCAGCUGUCUUUGCGCCUACCACAUCUCUUUGCCCAAGCAACAAGUGCUUCCCCAUCCUGCUCAUGUACGUCGAUUGUCUUGAUCUGUCCACUAUCGACUUUACUGGGAUAGGAGGUCCGUCACCUCCACAUAAGUGUAUCUGCAUGGACCUGAUGGUCAAGCAUGCUAUAGACUACAGUGUGUUUGGUGGGCCACGAAACUUUGGCAAGUGGAUGGAUGCGAGGGCACCUGUUGAGCAUCUAGUUGGGAAGUUUGCUUCCGGCAUGACCAGCUUGCUCGGGAAGUUGGUUGAGGGUUGGACGGCACUUAAUGGCUCUGACAGUGAUGCGGAGCUCCCUGACACGCAAGAUGAAAUAGAUGGAGAUGCUGGUCUCGACAAGGAGGAUGAUGAUGACAUGCAGAAUGUGCAACAUGAAAUCAACGACGAUGAGCAUGUUGAAGUUCGUGUAGGUGGUAAGAAGGAUAAGUCUGCACCAAAUGUUCCUCCACCGGAGAAAGUCAUUGAACAAACAAUUACGAGAGACACGGGGGUGUCGCCCUCAAAGAGGGGCAGGGCUCCAGAGGAUGUCGGGCAGGGCUCUGCUGGCAAGAGGUCUAGGACCGACCCCAUAGCUGCUAGGAGGAGUGAGGCGACAGCUGGUGGACGAGCAGUUAAGAAGAAACAAGCACCAACGCCAACUCUUGUUUUUGCCCGGUUGAACAAGGGUGUUCCUUCUGCUGGUGACACCACUUUCACUAGAUCAUACACAACUUUUUCACUUGAUACAUUUAUGUGGCAACUACUAUUUGCUUCUCAUGGCAGCUGCAUAGCUUGCCACAUGGGCUACUGCCAUCAGUCCCACAUGGCAACUGAUGUUUUUCAUGAUCUAUUUUUUGCUGCAUGGCAACUCCUGCUUGUUUUGGUGAAGAAGACUACUACACGCGUGACCAAACACAAUCUUAGAGACCCACUCGAACGCAUUCAUUCCAAGUUGUUGACAAGAGGCAACUCAGAUGUUCAUGAGGCGCCAGUCGACAAAACUGCUGUUGUACCGUCCACUAUUCCCACUAGCUCCAAUGCAGGCGACCAACCAUCUCCACCGGUUGUAGAUGUGCAGACUACAACAGCAGUCAUCCGUACAUCUGGGAGUGAUGAGUCAGUAUCUACCAGGACUGCUGAGAUAUUGCCCACGCUGGUGGCAAUGGGGGAUGCUGUUGUGACCCAUGCCACCCGAUCAGCAAGCGUUGAAGUGGACGCUCCUGAGAUCAACCUAAACAAGGAAGAUUCCCGCUCAUCUGACACGGAUUCCAAGCGUGUGGCUGCUGGUCUACCACCUAGGCGGUGUAGCCCCCGGAAGCAUCCUGCACACACAUCCAAUGCACCAGAUGUAGCUAGGAGCAGCAGAGAUGACUCUGGUUAUGUGCCUGCUUCCACACUAUUCCCACCUCAUGCAAAAAGCAAUGCUAUGGAGAAAAUGGAAGUCCGGAGUACAACUGACGCAGGUGGCAAGCCAUGCAUGACUGAAGGAGCUCCCAAUCAACAUUGGCAUCCCCUAUCGCCAAACAAGAAGAUUGGCAAGAAAGUUGCGAUUGAGACCGCUGACAGCAUGCCCACGCCUAUCAAUAAGCCUGAUGAUUCUGCAACAGACGAGGAGAGGCACCCAAUGGCUUUCACCCCACCGAGCUUUAGCCUUGGCAUCGAUCGCAGUCAAGAUGGACCAGUGGUGCGAGAUGUUGUGUCUGUUGCCUUUGCUUUCCCGGUAGGCAUGGCCCCAAUGAUGGAGCAGCCAAUGGCUGAAGACGUUUGUCACAAGCUUUUUUGGUUUCUUACUGGCGAUGGAAAAUCUCAUGAGAUGCACAUGGCAGCUGCAGUUUGCUACCACAUGGCACCUAUACCCGAGGAUAUUUCGCCAUCAUUUGAUGAAGCUUACCGCAGGAUUGAGGAGGAAGCAUUGAAGAGGAGGUCCUCAUGGAGUCAGGGGCAAUCAAGUUCUAACGUGCUUGCUGAGUCUAUAUCCAAGGAUACUGUUAGAAGUUCCACCCCUGGAUGUGUGAGGCAGAACAGGGUAGUUCACGCACCACCCACGGAUGACUAUGAGCCCGAAGGUAAGGCCACAAAGGAUCAGAACCAUCUGUAUGAUAUUGUCAAGUGUUUUGGAAAUGUGAGGUCGAACAGCAAGCACAUGAAGGAGCUGAAAGCCUCAUGUUCGGACAAAACCAAAAUCAUACAAUGUGAUGCGACAUACAUCGACAUGGGUAAUCUUGCUGAGAUCGUGAGGCCACUUGGUAAAAUGUCCAAGAAUGUAGUUGCGUGUGGGAUUGACUUCAUCAAUAGGCAUAUGGAGAUUUGUCCCGACAAGACGAUUAUGCAGUACAACAUGACCUGCAAAAUAUGGGAUGGUGACUUCCACCAUAAAAUCGCGAGGAAGCAUUUCACUGCGCAUGGUGAAUUCAAGCUCACACUGAAGAAAUAUCCAUGCUUCAUAUGUGGCAGCAGCUGCCAUGUCAUGUUCCCCAUGUUCCAGGAGCUUGCACCAGACAACCCAAAUGACAAGUGUGGUCACCAUUAUGCAAUUUGCCUUGACCUGAAGAACCAACGAUUUGAGGUGCUCGAUUCAAUGCAUGACUGUGGAUUUCACACGCUGGAAUACCUUGCAAAGUGGGAAGGUCGACAGGUCCCUGUCAUCACAGUUGCAAUGGUCGUUGAGCUCCAUAAAAUAUACACAUGGAACUGGUUGAUGAAUGAAGAUUUCAACACGUGGGCAAACACAUGA
rnacentral:rRNA from 1 species